GACACUGUGGCCGAGUGGUUAAGGCGACAGACUUGAAUUUCCUGCAAUCUUGGACGUCAGUUCGGAAUCUUGGAAUACGAUAUCUGUUUUCUUCGGAAGCGCAGGUUCGAACCCUGCCGGUGUCG
rnacentral:tRNA from 2 species